CAGCCGCCGCGGUAAUACGAAGGGUGCAAGCGUUAAUCGGAAUUACUGGGCGUAAAGCGUGCGUAGGUGGUGGUUUAAGUCCGUUGUGAAAGCCCUGGGCUCAACCUGGGAAUUGCAGUGGAUACUGGAUCACUAGAGUGUGGUAGAGGAUAGUGGAAUUUCCGGUGUAGCAGUGAAGUGCGUAGAGAUCGGAAGGAACAUCUGUGGCGAAGGCGACUAUCUGGGCCAACACUGACACUGAGGCACGAAAGCGUGGGGAGCAAACAGGAUUAGAUACCCCGGUAGUCCCUGUCUCUUAUAC
rnacentral:rRNA from 1 species